GAUGAACGCUGGCGGCGUGCCUAAUACAUGCAAGUCGAGCGAACAGACGAGGAGCUUGCUCCUCUGACGUUAGCGGCGGACGGGUGAGUAACACGUGGAUAACCUACCUAUAAGACUGGGAUAACUUCGGGAAACCGGAGCUAAUACCGGAUAAUAUAUUGAACCGCAUGGUUCAAUAGUGAAAGACGGUUUUGCUGUCACUUAUAGAUGGAUCCGCGCCGCAUUAGCUAGUUGGUAAGGUAACGGCUUACCAAGGCAACGAUGCGUAGCCGACCUGAGAGGGUGAUCGGCCACACUGGAACUGAGACACGGUCCAGACUCCUACGGGAGGCAGCAGUAGGGAAUCUUCCGCAAUGGGCGAAAGCUUGACGGAGCACGCCGCGUGAGUGAUGAAGGUCUUCGGAUCGUAAAACUCUGUUAUUAGGGAAGAACAAAUGUGUAAGUAACUAUGCACGUCUUGACGGUACCUAAUCAGAAAGCCACGGCUAACUACGUG
rnacentral:rRNA from 1 species